AAUGAACGUUGGCGGCGUGGAUUAGGCAUGCAAGUCGCGCGACAAGGAACCUUCGGGUUCUGGAGGAGCGGCAAACGGGGUAGUAAGGCAUCGGAACGUACCCUCUUGUUGGGAAUAGCCGCGGGAAACUGCGAGUAAUGCCCAAUAAUCCCUACGGGGCAAAGGUCCGCCGCAGGAGGAGCGGCCGAUGUGAUACCAGCUAGUUGGUGAGGUAAUGGCUCACCAAGGCUUAGACGUCUAGGGGGUGUGAGAGCAUGGCCCCCACCACUGGGACGUGAGAUACUGCCCACGACACCUACGGGUGGGCUGCAGUCGAGAAUCUUCGGCAAUGGGCGCAAGCCUGACCGAGCAACGCCGCGUGCGGGAGUGAAGG
rnacentral:rRNA from 1 species